rnacentral:rRNA from 1 species
GAGGGCAAGUCUGGUGCCAGCAGCCGCGGUAAUUCCAGCUCCAAUAGCGUAUAUUAAAGUUGUUGCAGUUAAAAAGCUCGUAGUUGGAUUUCUGUUAAUAAUUUAUAUAAUAUAUUUUGAUAGAUAUUUAUAUAAUAUUAACAUAAUUCAUAUUACUAUUUUUUUUUAGUAUAUGAAAUUUUACUUUGAGAAAAUUAGAGUGCUUAAAGCAGGCAUAUGCCUUGAAUACUCCAGCAUGGAAUAAUAUUAAAGAUUUUUAUCUUUCUUAUUGGUUCUAAGAUAAGAAUAAUGAUUAAUAGGGACAGUUGGGGGCAUUUGUAUUUAACAGUCAGAGGUGAAAUUCUUAGAUUUGUUAAAGACAAACUAAUGCGAAAGCAUUUGCCAAGGAUGUUUUCAUUAAUCAAGAACGAAAGUUAGGGGAUCGAAGACGAUCAGAUACCGUCGUAGUCUUAACCAUAAACUAUGCCAACUAGAGAUUGGAGGUUGUUCCUUACUCCUUCAGCACCUUAA